AGUAACACGUGGGUAACCUGCCCUAAAGUCUGGGAUACCACUUGGAAACAGGUGCUAAUACCGGAUAACAACAAUAGCUGCAUGGCUAUUGCUUAAAAGGCGGCGAAAGCUGUCGCUAAAGGAUGGACCCGCGGUGCAUUAGCUAGUUGGUAAGGUAAUGGCUUACCAAGGCGACGAUGCAUAGCCGAGUUGAGAGACUGAUCGGCCACAUUGGGACUGAGACACGGCCCAAACUCCUACGGGAGGCAGCAG
rnacentral:rRNA from 1 species